CGACGCCCGACACCCACACCACCCGCGAUGGCCCCCACAAAGAAGUCCAAGGCCGCCAAGUCCUCAGAGUCCAUCGCUUCCCGCCUCGCCCUCGUGGUCAAGUCGGGCAAGUACUCCCUCGGAUAUAAGUCCGCCCUCAAGCAGAUGCGUUCCGGCAAGGCUAAGCUUGUCCUCAUUGCCGCCAACUGCCCUCCCCUCCGCAAGUCUG
rnacentral:misc_RNA from 1 species